rnacentral:rRNA from 1 species
UGGGGAAUAUUGCACAAUGGGCGCAAGCCUGAUGCAGCCAUGCCGCGUGUAUGAAGAAGGCCUUCGGGUUGUAAAGUACUUUCAGCGGGGAGGAAGGGAGUAAAGUUAAUACCUUUGCUCAUUGACGUUACCCGCAGAAGAAGCACCGGCUAACUCCGUGCCAGCAGCCGCGGUAAUACGGAGGGUGCAAGCGUUAAUCGGAAUUACUGGGCGUAAAGCGCACGCAGGCGGUUUGUUAAGUCAGAUGGGAAAUCCCCGGGCUCAACCUGGGAACUGCAUCUGAUACUGGCAAGCUUGAGUCUCGUAGAGGGGGGUAGAAUUCCAGGUGUAGCGGUGAAAUGCGUAGAGAUCUGGAGGAAUACCGGUGGCGAAGGCGGCCCCCUGGACGAAGACUGACGCUCAGGUGCGAAAGCGUGGGGAGCAAACAGG